rnacentral:rRNA from 1 species
GACGAAGGGGGCUAGCGUUGUUCGGAAUUACUGGGCGUAAAGCGCGUGUAGGCGGUUGUUCAAGUUGGAUGUGAAAGCCUUGAGCUCAACUCAAGAAAUGCAUUCAGGACUGAAUGACUAGAGGACCGGAGAGGAUAGUGGAAUUCCCAGUGUAGUGGUGAAAUACGUAGAGAUUGGGAAGAACACCAGUGGCGAAGGCGGCUAUCUGGACGGUUUCUGGCGCUAAGACGCGAAAGCGUGGGGAGCAAACAGG